GAGAUAAAAAAGAGCAGCCCAAGUAAGCUUCGUUUCUCUUUCUUUCUCCCUCGUGAGAUCUCUCGAGCUUUUCUCACGAUCAUCGUCUCUUCCAAAUCCCUGACCAUCUCCGGCUCCAUCGAUCGAUCGAUCGAUCUGCGCAGGGUCCUCAUGGAGGUGGAGGCACCGGGGUUGCUGCGGUACUUCAUUGGAGCGGCGAUCAUGAUUGCCGGCGUUGUGCUUCCUCUUGUCUAUAUGAUGUUCCGCAACAAGCGUUCUUCGGCUCCUUCGUCGUUUUCCAAGCAGACGAGCAAAGGUUUGAUUUAGAGAAAACAAGGAAUCGAGGAGUGGAUUGAAGCAGAGGAAGGAAGAUAAGAAUUUCUCUUCAAAGCUGGUUGCAGUUUUACUUAAGAGUAUUGCACAGAACAACUAGCCACUGUCAAUCUAAAACACACAGAGUUGUGUAAGGCUUCAAUUUUACCUGAGAGUUUUAACAUGGAGAUGAAGGCGACUUAUGUUUAACACAUUUUUUUUUUUCAGUUGAGUUCUGUAUACCUUCAAUGCCUACCCCCCACAAUGUAUUAUGUUUACCUCUACCUUCUACCUCCCACUUUUGAUGUUCACUUUACAUUUUUCAUUUUAUUAGUUUACCAAAAAACCCAUUACGUGAGACCGGUUUGAAUGUUGUCUAUGUUUUUAAUAUACAGGUAAUGAGGGUAUGCCGGUAUGGCAGUCAGACCCUUUGUUUUGGCUA